rnacentral:rRNA from 1 species
AUUGAACGCUGGCGGCAGGCUUAACACAUGCAAGUCGAGCGAGCGGCGGACGGGUGAGUAAUGUCUGGGAAACUGCCUGAUGGAGGGGGAUAACUACUGGAAACGGUAGCUAAUACCGCAUAACAUAAGAUGUGCCCAUAUGGGAUUGGCUAGUGGGUGGGGUAAUGGCUCACCGUGGGGACGAUCCCUAUGUGGUCUGAGAGGAUGGACAGCAAAACUGGAACUGAGACACAGUCCAGAAGCCUACGGUAGGCAGCAGUGGGGAAUAUUGCACAAGGGGCGCAAGCCGGAUGCUGCCAUUCCGCGUGUGUGAAGAAGGCCUGCGGGUUGUAAAGCACUGUCAGCGAGGAGGCGUUACUCGCAGAAGAAGCACCGGCUAACUCCGUGCCAGCAGCCGCGGUAAUAC